UAAUCGGGGCAGGGUGAGUCGACCCCUAAGGCGAGGCCGAAAGGCGUAGUCGAUGGGAAACAGGUUAAUAUUCCUGUACUUGGUGUUACUGCGAAGGGGGGACGGAGAAGGCUAUGUUGGCCGGGCGACGGUUGUCCCGGUUUAAGCGUGUAGGCUGGUUUUCCAGGCAAAUCCGGAAAAUCAAGGCUGAGGCGUGAUGACGAGGCACUACGGUGCUGAAGCAACAAAUGCCCUGCUUCCAGGAAAAGCCUCUAAGCAUCAGGUAACAUCAAAUCGUACCCCAAACCGACACAGGUGGUCAGGUAGAGAAUACCAAGGCGCUUGAGAGAACUCGGGUGAAGGAACUAGGCAAAAUGGUGCCGUAACUUCGGGAGAAGGCACGCUGAUAUGUAGGUGAAGCGACUUGCUCGUGGAGCUGAAAUCAGUCGAAGAUACCAGCUGGCUGCAACUGUUUAUUAAAAACACAGCACUGUGCAAACACGAAAGUGGACGUAUACGGUGUGACGCCUGCCCGGUGCCGGAAGGUUAAUUGAUGGGGUUAGCGCAAGCGAAGCUCUUGAUCGAAGCCCCGGUAAACGGCGGCCGUAACUAUAACGGUCCUAAGGUAGCGAAAUUCCUUGUCGGGUAAGUUCCGACCUGCACGAAUGGCGUAAUGAUGGCCAGGCUGUCUCCACCCGAGACUCAGUGAAAUUGAACUCGCUGUGAAGAUGCAGUGUACCCGCGGCAAGACGGAAAGACCCCGUGAACCUUUACUAUAGAUUGACACUGAACAUUGAGCCUUGAUGUGUAGGAUAGGUGGGAGGCUUAGAAGUGUGGACGCCAGUCUGCAUGGAGCCGACCUUGAAAUACCACCCUUUAAUGUUUGAUGUUCUAACGUUGACCCGUAAUCCGGGUUGCGGACAGUGUCUGGUGGGUAGUUUGACUGGGGCGGUCUCCUCCUAAAGAGUAACGGAGGAGCACGAAGGUUGGCUAAUCCUGGUCGGACAUCAGGAGGUUAGUGCAAUGGCAUAAGCCAGCUUGACUGCGAGCGUGACGGCGCGAGCGGUGCGAAAGCAGGUCAUAGUGAUCCGGUGGUUCUGAAUGGAAGGGCCAUCGCUCAACGGAUAAAAGGUACUCCGGGGAUAACAGGCUGAUACCGCCCAAGAGUUCAUAUCGACGGCGGUGCUUGGCACCUCGAUGUCGGCUCAUCACAUCCUGGGGCUGAAGUAGGUCCCAAGGGUAUGGCUGUUCGCCAUUUAAAGUGGUACGCGAGCUGGGUUUAGAACGUCGUGAGACAGUUCGGUCCCUAUCUGCCGUGGGCGCUGGAGAACUGAGGGGGGCUGCUCCUAGUACGAGAGGACCGGAGUGGACGCAUCACUGGUGUUCGGGUUGUCAUGCCAAUGGCACUGCCCGGUAGCUAAAUGCGGAAGAGAUAAGUGCUGAAAGCAUCUAAGCACGAAACUUGCCCCGAGAUGAGUUCUCCCUGACCCUUUAAGGGUCCUGAAGGAACGUUGAAGACGACGACGUUGAUAGGCCGGGUGUGUAAGCGCAGCGAUGCGUUGAGCUAACCGGUACUAAUGAACCGUGAGGCUUAACCU
rnacentral:rRNA from 1 species